rnacentral:rRNA from 1 species
GACGAACGCUGGCGGCGUGCUUAACACAUGCAAGUCGAACGGAAAGGCCCUGCUUUUGUGGGGUGCUCGAGUGGCGAACGGGUGAGUAACACGUGAGUAACCUGCCCUUGACUUUGGGAUAACUUCAGGAAACUGGGGCUAAUACCGGAUAGGAGCUCCUGCUGCAUGGUGGGGGUUGGAAAGUUUCGGCGGUUGGGGAUGGACUCGCGGCUUAUCAGCUUGUUGGUGGGGUAGUGGCUUACCAAGGCUUUGACGGGUAGCCGGCCUGAGAGGGUGACCGGCCACAUUGGGACUGGGAUACGGCCCAGACUCCUACGGGAGGCAGCAGUGGGGAAUAUUGCACAAUGGGCGGAAGCCGGAUGCAGCAACGCCGCGUGCGGGAUGACGGCCUUCGGGUGGUAAACCGCUUUCGCCUGUGACGAAGCGUGAGUGACGGUAAUGGGGAAAGAAGCACCGGCUAACUACGG